GGGCCCGCACAAGCGGUGGAGCAUGUGGUUUAAUUCGAUGAUACGCGAGGAACCUUACCAGGGCUUAAAUGUAGUCUGACAGGCGUGGAAACAUGCUUUUCUUCGGACAGAUUACAAGGUGCUGCAUGGUUGUCGUCAGCUCGUGCCGUGAGGUGUCAGGUUAAGUCCUAUAACGAGCGCAACCCCUGUUGUUAGUUGCCAGCGAGUCAUGUCGGGAACUCUAACAAGACUGCCAGUGCAAACUGUGAGGAAGGUGGGGAUGACGUCAAAUCAUCACGGCCCUUACGUCCUGGGCUACACACGUGCUACAAUGGCCGGUAUAGAGGGCAGCCACACCGCAAGGUGGAGCGAA
rnacentral:rRNA from 1 species